UAAACAUUUUUAUACCCGCGUAGUAAACUCCUUUUUGAAAACUAGUUAAGUUAGCUUGAGGUAGAUAAAGAUCUUGUCUAUGUCUGGUAUUUAUAGCAUGAGAGUCAAUAUUUGAUGAAAAAAGAUGUUUAUUCUGCAAUACAAAUAUUAACAAUGAAAAUAUGUAUUGCGAUGCAAAUGGUAAAAUGUUUAACU